rnacentral:rRNA from 1 species
CCUACGGUGGGCAGCAGUAGGGAAUAUUGCACAAUGGGCGAAACCCUGAAGCAGCAACGCCGCGUGGGGGAUGGAGGCUUUCGGAUUGUAAACUCCUUUUGUUAAAGGACAUAAUGACGUUAUCUAACGAAUAAGCACCGGCUAACUCCGUGCCAGCAGCCGCGGUAAUACGGGGGGUGCAAGCGUUACUCGGAAUCACUGGGCGUAACGAGCGCGUAGGCGGGAUAGCAAGUCAGAUGUGAAAGCCUAUGGCUUAACCAUAGAACUGCGUUUGAAACUGUUAUGCUAGAGUAUGGGAGAGGUAGGUGGAAUUCUUGGUGUAGGGGUAAAAUCUGUAGAGAUCAAGAGGAAUACUCAUGGCGAAGGCGACCUGCUAGAACAUAACUGACGCUGAGGCGCGAAAGCGUGGGGAGCAAACAGGAUUAGAUACCCGUGUAGUC